CGGGGUGCAGCAGGCGCGAAAACUUUACAAUGCCGGCAACGGCGAUAAGGGGACCUCGAGUGCCAGGUUACAAAUCUGGCUGUCGUGAUGCCUAAAAAGCAUUGCAUAGCAAGGGCCGGGCAAGACCGGUGCCAGCCGCCGCGGUAACACCGGCGGCUCGAGUGGUAACCGUUAUUAUUGGGUCUAAAGGGUCUGUAGCCGGCCGGAUAAGUCUCUUGGGAAAUCCAGCAGCUCAACUGUUGGGCUUUCAGGAGAUACUGUCUGGCUCGAGGCCGGGAGAGGUGAGAGGUACUUCAGGGGUAGGGGUGAAAUCUUGUAAUCCUUGAAGGACCACCAGUGGCGAAGGCGUCUCACCAGAACGGACCUGACGGCAAGGGACGAAAGCUAGGGGCACGAACCGGAUUAGAUACCCGGGUAGUCCUAGCCGUAAACGAUACUCGCUAGGUGUCGGCCACGGUGCGACCGUUGUCGGUGCCGUAGGGAAGCCGUGAAGCGAGCCACCUGGGAAGUACGGCCGCAAGGCUGAAACUUAAAGGAAUUGG
rnacentral:rRNA from 1 species